CCGGGUGGGCUAGGUGCGGGGGCUGGGGACCGAAUGAGCCCCAAAGACAAGGUUGAGGCUGGAACCAGUCCUUAGAUGGGGCUGCUGGUGGGGGACGCAGUCUGUUUCUGAGGCGGGGUUGGAGGUGGGAUACGUUUUGUGCGUAUUUAGAUCGCUGAAUACUGGCGCCUGAAGGGCGUGGCUGCGGGCAGGGACCCACCCCAAGCAAGCACAUCAAAAGGUCUACGUGCUUCUCGCCUCGUUCCUAGAGCCAUAACAGUGAUUUUCCCAUAUCGAUAAUCCUGCCGAUCCAUGAAGUAGUCUGUCUCCUCCGGUCAAUUCCACAAGGCAGGACACAGUGCUGAACUCAAAUGCUGUCCCCUGCAUCAGGGGGGUUUUUCAUUGUUGUUAAAUCAGUAAGCAAUCGAAGACAGCAUUACGUUUGCUAGACCUCAAAACUACUUGGCACAUAUUUACCUGCUAAGCUCCUGGUGGUCCCGAGUGACCCCUGCUGUGAGCAGUGGCCUCCCUUUCUAGACUGUCCCUAUCAACCUCAGGGGGACUAGAGUCUAUAUCCAAGGGAUGUCAUGGAGGAGAUCUCUCUUGGUGUUGCAAGGAACAUCAUAACUAAUAUGGUGAUGAAGAAAGGAAAAAAGAAGAGAUAAGACAAAGGGCAAAUGGUAAAGUGAAAACGCCAGAUGCGAUGCUCCCAUUUCCAUGGAAUUCUUUAGAACCCACAAGCAGUGACCUCUGCCUCCUUUCUCAUUGGCCAGGACUGUGGGCUCAUGGGCACUCACAGCUACAAGGAAAGCUGGGAGAUGAAUCCUUAAGAACUGUCCACACUGCUAAUUUGAACACAGUUGUAUUGUUACUUGAAAGAAGGAGGGGAGGAAUGGAUAUUGGGACAGCAACUUCUUUUGUCUCACACAUUAGGCCAUGUAGCAAGUCUCUAAUAAUUUUCUGUUUGAAUCUAUGUCUUAUAGAAUCUGUGUCACGAAGACCAUGCAUUCUGUGCAUAAUGUAAUUAAUUUAGAAAUCUAUAACUAAAAGAUAACUAAAAUAUGCACAGAGUCUGCACAUUAAAAUAUAUAUUUCUAAAUAACCUAUAGUUUGGUCCAAGACAUCUUGAUGAGAAAUGGACAAUAUUUAGUACUUAAUUACAAUAAAAACAUUAUGUAUCAAAACUUUUGUGAUGUAGAUCAAGGGGAAUUUAGAGUGCUGUAUAAUCUUUAAUACUCAUCAAUUAAUGAGUUGUCACACUUUAAAGAUUAAACACUCACUGAUAAAUACAAUCACAGAACCAUAACAUUUAUAAGGUUGGUCCCAGUAUAACGUGACCUAAGAGUUGUGCCUGAAGGCUUUCUAAAUUGGUCACAAUAGGGUUUCUCUCCAGAGUGAGUUCUAAAAUGAGUGAGAUGUGAAGGACCUAAGGCUAGCCUGUAGUCAUUUCAUUCAUAUAGUUUCUGUCCAGGAUGUAUUCGUUUGUGCAUUAUAAGGUUAGUGCUGGUGCUGAAUGCUUUUCCACACUGAAUACAUUUAUAGGGCUUCUCUCCUGUGUGAGUUCUCAUAUGUACCCUUAGGCAAGAGGAAUUCCUAAAGGCCUUCCCACAUUCUUUACACUCAUAGGUUUUCUCUCCAGUGUGAGUUCUCUUGUGCACAAUAAGAUAAGAGCCUGUACUGAAGGAUUUUCCACAUUGAUUACACUCAUAAGGUUUCUCUCCAGUGUGAGAUCGUGUAUGUUUCUUAAGGGAUGACUGAUCAAUAAAGGAUUUCCCACAGUCACUGCAUUCAUAGGGUUUCUCUCCAGUGUGUGUUCUCAUAUGUUUCUGAAGGGAUGAAGGAACAGUGAAAGCCUUGCCACAUUCCUUACAGUCAUAGGGUUUCUCUCCAGUGUGAGUUCUUUUGUGCACAUUAAGAUGAGAGCUCUGGCUGAAGGAUUUUCCACAAUGAUUACACUCGUAAGGUUUCUCUCCAGUGUGUGAUCUCACAUGUUUCUUAAGGGAGGACUGAAAAACAAAGGCUUUCCCACAAUUGCUACAUUCAUAACGUUUCUCUCCAGUGUGAGGUCUCACACAUAUCUGAAGGGACAAGGGGCCAGUGAAAACUUUCUCAUGUUCAUUACAUUUUGAGCUUUCCUCCACAGUACACAUUUUUUUGUGGAAACUAAGGGAAGAUCUUUUUCCAUAGUCACUGCAUUCACAGAGUUUCUCUCCAGUAGGUAUUUGUUCAUGUACUGAAAAGGAAGAGUGUAAGUUGAAGGACAUAAGAUGUUGAUUACACUCAGAAGAUUUCUCUCCUGUGAGAGUUAAGUGUUUCCUAAGGGAUGACUCUUGAUUGAAAAAUUUUCCACAACCAUUAAAUUCAAUAAUUUUCUCUCCAGUGUGAGUACUCACAUGACUCCUAAGAGUUGAGGGAUGGCCAGAGUCUUGCCCAUAUUCUUUAUAUUUGUUGCAUUUCUCUCUCUUGCAAUAUCUUGGACAAAUAAGGUGACAGUUCUUUCUAAAGAAUUUUCCACAAUGAUUAAAUUCCAUUGGUUUCUCACCAGGGUGAGUUGCUGCCUACAGAAUAAGGAAUCAGUGGUGACUAAAGGCUUUCUCACUUUCAUCACAGAGGAACUCACUCCCAUGUGGAUUCUGCCAUAUAUAUGAAGCAUAUUAUUAUAACUAACAUUUUUACCAUUUUCAGGGUGUGUGUAUACAUUUUGCGCUAUUCUUUCAAGUUGAAAUAGCUGAAUACUCUUCCCAAGACCCCAUGGUAUUCAUUCCCAUCAAAGGGCAUCCUAAAUAUAGUUUUUCUAGUCAUGUGUGAAGAAUGAAUGAAUUAUUUAUUAAAUACUUAAUAAUUGAAUCACAUUUAAGUAAAUGUUUACUUUUUGAUAUUCUCUGCAAGGCAGCAAGUGUUGAGGUAGGUUUGGAGAUUUCUCCAAUUUUAUGGGAUUCAUAAAGGCUUUCCUGAAGCAGCUUUCUGAUGAGUGAAUUCCACUUGCCUCAAGUGUCUCCCCUUGUUUGGGUGCUGCUGCUGUUUUAAUUCCUUGAAAUUCACAGAGUUCUCCCAUUCUAAAAAACCAGGAACCAUUUCUAGUGAAUCUCACCGUUUUUAUGCCAUUGGAAGUUUUUUCCCCAGGAACAUUCUGUGUAAGAAUUGCGUCUUUUGAUUUAAGUUGAGUAUCCUGGUCUGAAAGUGAAUGGGGAAAUUUUUUAUAAUUAUUGGGAGAAAAAGUAGGGAUGAAAGAAAAAAGGAGUCAGGCACCCUAUGGAUUUGUUUUCAAAUAAUAACACUAAAUA